CUACGGGACGCAGCAGUGGGGAAUAUUGGACAAUGGGCGCAAGCCUGAUCCAGCAAUGCCGCGUGAGUGAAGACGGCCUUAGGGUUGUAAAACUCUUUCGCUAGGGAAGAUAAUGACUGUACCUAGUAAAGAAGUCCCGGCUAACUCCGUGCCAGCAGCCGCGGUGAAUACGGAGGGGACUAGCGUUGUUCGGAAUUACUGGGCGUAAAGAGUUCGUAGGCGGACUGACAAGUUAGAGGUGAAAUCCCAGGGCUCAACCCUGGAACUGCCUUUAAAACUGUCAGUCUAGAGACCGGAAGAGGUUAGGGGAAUACCUAGUGUAGAGGUGAAAUUCGUAGAUAUUAGGUGGAACACCAGUGGCGAAGGCGCCUAACUGGUCCGGUACUGACGCUGAGGAACGAAAGCGUGGGGAGCAAACAGGAUUAGAUACCCUUGUAGUC
rnacentral:rRNA from 1 species